GACGAACGCUGGCGGCGUGCUUAACACAUGCAAGUCGAGCGGAAAGGCCCUGCUUUUGUGGGGUGCUCGAGUGGCGAACGGGUGAGUAACACGUGAGUAACCUGCCCUUGACUUUGGGAUAACUUCAGGAAACUGGGGCUAAUACCGGAUAGGAGCUCCUGCUGCAUGGUGGGGGUUGGAAAGUUUCGGCGGUUGGGGAUGGACUCGCGGCUUAUCAGCUUGUUGGUGGGGUAGUGGCUUACCAAGGCUUUGACGGGUAGCCGGCCUGAGAGGGUGACCGGCCACAUUGGUACUGAGAUACGGCCCAGACUCCUACGGGAGGCAGCAGUGGGGAAUAUUGCACAAUGGGCGGAAGCCUGAUGCAGCAACGCCGCGUGCGGGAUGACGGCCUUCGGGUUGUAAACCGCUUUCGCCUGUGACGAAGCGUGAGUGACGGUAAUGGGUAAAGAAGCACCGGCUAACUACGUG
rnacentral:rRNA from 1 species